UUCUUCAGUCUUACUCAAAAGGUCCAAUAGUGUAUGUAUAUUGGCCCUUUUUAGACAAUUAUACGUUCUAGAAGUCAAUUCUAAUUGAUCAAUAAAAAUACAAUUCAAUGGAAUUCCUUUUUUGUUUUUCUUUAGAUUAGUUAAUCUUUUUUGAAAGUAAAAAGGGGUGGAGUAAACCUGUUUUUAUUUUCUUCGAAACUAGCGCCCUCUUCCUCCGCGUGUGGAAAAGGAAGAAAUAAAUCAAUCAAAUUACGAGAAGCCUCAUAAAGUGCUUCCUUAGGGGUUAAACUUCCAUUAGAGAUCGGAAGAGAAAA